rnacentral:rRNA from 1 species
UACGUAGGUGGCAAGCGUUUGUCCGGAAUUAUUGGGCGUAAAGCGCGCGCAGGCGGUCCUUUAAGUCUGAUGUGAAAGCCCACGGCUCAACCGUGGAGGGUCAUUGGAAACUGGGGGACUUGAGUACAGAAGAGAAGAGUGGAAUUCCACGUGUAGCGGUGAAAUGCGUAGAGAUGUGGAGGAACACCAGUGGCGAAGGCGACUCUUUGGUCUGUAACUGACGCUGAGGCGCGAAAGCGUGGGAGCAAACAGG